UGGGGAAUUUUGGACAAUGGGCGAAANCCUGAUCCAGCAAUGCCGCGUGUGUGAAGAAGGCCUUCGGGUUGUAAAGCACUUUUGUCCGGAAAGAAAUCCUUGGCUCUAAUACAGUCGGGGGAUGACGGUACCGGAAGAAUAAGCACCGGCUAACUACGUGCCAGCAGCCGCGGUAAUACGUAGGGUGCAAGCGUUAAUCGGAAUUACUGGGCGUAAGCGUGCGCAGGCGGUUUGCUAAGACCGAUGUGAAAUCCCCGGGCUCAACCUGGGAACUGCAUUGGUGACUGGCAGGCUAGAGUAUGGCAGAGGGGGGUAGAAUUCCACGUGUAGCAGUGAAAUGCGUAGAGAUGUGGAGGAAUACCGAUGGCGAAGGCAGCCCCCUGGGCCAAUACUGACGCUCAUGCACGAAAGCGUGGGGAGCAAACAGGAUUAGAUACCCUGGUAGUCCACGCCCUAAACGAUGUCAACUAGUUGUUGGGGAUUCAUUUCCUUAGUAACGUAGCUAACGCGUGAAGUUGACCGCCUGGGGAGUACGUCGCAAGAUUAAAACUUAAAUGAAUUG
rnacentral:rRNA from 1 species